rnacentral:rRNA from 1 species
CCUACGGGAGGCAGCAGUGGGGAAUAUUGCGCAAUGGGCGAAAGCCUGACGCAGCGACGCCGCGUGAGGGAUGAAGGUCUUCGGAUCGUAAACCUCUGUCAGCAGGGAAGAACGGUCACUGUGCUAAUCAGCAGUGAAUUGACGGUACCUGCAAAGGAAGCACCGGCUAACUCCGUGCCAGCAGCCGCGGUAAGACGGAGGGUGCGAGCGUUAAUCGGAAUUACUGGGCGUAAAGCGCUCGUAGGCGGUAUGUCAAGUCAAGGGUGAAAUCCCCGCGCUCAACGUGGGAACUGCCUUUGAAACUGGCAGACUGGAGUGUGUGAGAGGAUAGUGGAAGUCCAGGUGUAGGAGUGAAAUCCGUAGAUAUCUGGCGGAACAUCAGUGGCGAAGGCGACUAUCUGGCACAUAACUGACGCUGAGGAGCGAAAGCGUGGGUAGCAAACAGGAUUAGAUACCCGGGUAGUC